ACAACGAGGGAAAUGCUCACAAUAGGCUGCAACAGGUCAUGUUUUUAAUAGUUCACACACAAUUAGUUUCUCAUGCUUUCUUCUUGAUUUGUAGAUUUGGUUAAAGUAGAAGAGUGACAUCUAAUCCCAAAUAAAGCAGGCCAUAGAACCAGCAACAGGGCUUUUCAAAAUUUGUAAAAAAGGGAGGGAAAUCUCAACUUAUGAUUGCUCUGAACCACCAUAGCAUUUUAUUAUUUUUUGUUGUUGUCUCCUACGUUUUAUGAUCUUGCAACCCCUACCUAUCCUAAGUAUGAUCUUAUUCUUGCUAACAUUGGUUUUGCAGACUUAAUCAUGGUUUUCUGAAGGUUUCAACGUCACCAAAUUUCUUGGAACUAUGAAAGUGCACAUUUUGUCGAGGUAUUGAAGAUAAUGUAAUAGCUGUUAUAUUUUCCUGCUCUUGUCUGAUUUUUUUUUGGCUAGUGCAUAGCAUUUGAGGUGUGGUGACGAAGAUGGAGUAUUGGAGUUGAGCAAGUGCUUAUUAAUCUUGAACACUUGUGUAACUAUUCUGUAAUUUUGUGAUGUUAGGGUCUUUGGCAAACGCAUUUGCUCACCACCUUCUUCCACAACAAGAAAAUUAUCAAAUAAAAAUCAAUUUUUAGAGACUAAAAUAAUUAGUUGUAAUAGUAACUAAAUUUAACUACCAAUUAUUUAGUUUAUAAAACCUUGAUUUUGCUAAUUAGAUACCAAUAUAGAAACUAUUUAACAAUAAUAGAAACUAAUUUAAAAACCAAUUUUUGUUUUAGUUUCCAAAAUGGUCUCUAUUUUAGUUAUUAUUGUAAUU
rnacentral:lncRNA from 1 species